rnacentral:rRNA from 1 species
AAGUCGAACGCGAAAGGGAGGGGCAACUCUCCUGAGUAAAGUGGCGAACGGGUGAGUAACACGUGGGAAACUUGCCCUCGAGUUGGGGAUAACCACUCUAACGGGUGGCUAAUACCGAAUGUGGUCGCCGGAGGGCAUCCUCUGGCGACUAAAGGUGGGGACCCGCAAGGGCCUGCCGCUCGAGGAUGGUCCCGCGUCCCAUUAGCUAGUUGGCGAGGUAACGGCUCACCAAGGCUCCGAUGGGUAGCUGGUCUGAGAGGACGACCAGCCACACUGGGACUGAGAUACGGCCCAGACUCCUACGGGAGGCAGCAGUCGAGAGGCUUCGGCAAUGGGGGAAACCCUGACCGAGCGACGCCGCGUGGGGGAUGAAGGCCUUUGGGUUGUAAACCCCUGUCAAGCGGGACGAAACGCCCUGAGGUGAUAAGCCAAGGGGCUUGACGGUACCGUCAGAGGAAGCUCCGGCUAACUCCGUGCCAGCAGCCGCGGUAAUACGGGGGGAGCAAGCGUUGUUCGGAAUUACUGGGCGUAAAGGGCGUGUAGGCGGCCAUGUAAGUCGGGGGUGAAAUCCACUGGCUCAACCAGUGACGUGCCUUCGAAACUGCGUGGCUUGAGUAUGGCAGAGGGAA